UCUUGCGCAAUGGGCGAAAGCCUGACGCAGCGACGCCGCGUGGGGGAUGACGGCCUUCGGGUUGUAAACCUCUUUCAGCGGGGACGAAGUUGGACGUGUACCCGCAGAAGAAGCGCCGGCUAACUACGUGCCAGCAGCCGCGGUAAUACGUAGGGCGCGAGCGUUGUCCGGAAUUAUUGGGCGUAAAGAGCUCGUAGGCGGCUGGUCGCGUCUGCCGUGAAAGGCCUGGGCUUAACUCGGGUUUUGCGGUGGAUACGGGCCGGCUGGAGGCAGGCAGGGGAGAAUGGAAUUCCUGGUGUAGCGGUGAAAUGCGCAGAUAUCAGGAGGAACACCGGUGGCGAAGGCGGUUCUCUGGGCCUGUCCUGACGCUGAGGAGCGAAAGCGUGGGGAGCGAACAGG
rnacentral:rRNA from 1 species